rnacentral:rRNA from 1 species
GCGGCAGGCCUAACACAUGCAAGUCGAACGCGAUCUUCGGAUCGAGUGGCGCACGGGUGAGUAACGCGUGGGAAUCUGCCCUGUGGUACGGAAUAACAUCGGGAAACUGGUGCUAAUACCGUAUAUCCCCUGAGGGGGAAAGAUUUAUCGCCAUGGGAGGAGCCCGCGUAGGAUUAGCUAGUUGGUGAGGUAACGGCUCACCAAGGCGACGAUCCUUAGCUGGUCUGAGAGGAUGAUCANCCACACUGGGACUGAGAUACGGCCCANACUCCUACGGGAGGCAGCAGUGGGGAAUAUUGGACAAUGGGGGAAACCCUGAUCCAGCCAUGCCGCGUGUGUGAUGAAGGCCUUCGGGUUGUAAAGCACUUUCGCACGUGACGAUGAUGACGGUAACGUGAGAAGAAGCCCCGGCUAACUUCGUGCCAGCAGCCGCGGUAAUACGAAGGGGGCAAGCGUUGUUCGGAAUUACUGGGCGUAAAGGGCGCGU